rnacentral:rRNA from 1 species
UACGGGGGGGGCAAGCGUUGUUCGGAAUUACUGGGCGUAAAGGGCUCGUAGGUGGCCAACUAAGUCAGACGUGAAAUCCCUCGGCUUAACCGGGGAACUGCGUCUGAUACUGGAUGGCUUGAGUUUGGGAGAGGGACGCGGAAUUCCAGGUGUAGCGGUGAAAUGCGUAGAUAUCUGGAGGAACACCGGUGGCGAAGGCGGCGUCCUGGACCAACACUGACACUGAGGAGCGAAAGCCAGGGGGGCAAACGGG